ACGCUCGACACCUACGGGGAGGCAGCAGUGGGGAAUAUUGCACAAUGGGGGAAACCCUGAUGCAGCAACGCCGCGUGAAGGAAGACGGUUUUCGGAUUGUAAACUUCUGUUCUUAGUGAAGAUAGUGACGGUAGCUAAGGAGCAAGCCACGGCUAACUACGUGCCGGCAGCCGCGGUAAUCUGAGCGGGCUGGCAAGGC
rnacentral:rRNA from 1 species